rnacentral:rRNA from 1 species
GACGGAGGAUGCAAGCGUUAUCCGGAAUUAUUGGGCGUAAAGCGUCCGCAGGUGGCUGUUCAAGUCUGCUGUCAAAGCGCAGAGCUUAACUCUGUACGAGGCGGUGGAAACUGAAGAGCUAGAGUAUGGUAGGGGUAGAGGGAAUUCCCGGUGUAGCGGUGAAAUGCGUAGAUAUCGGGAAGAACACCAGUGGCGAAAGCGCUCUACUGGGCCAUAACUGACACUGGAGGGACGAAAGCUAGGGGAGCGAAAGGG